CACGGGUCGAGAUUUGUUAUCAAACUCCUGAUGAGUCUAAGGCAUGACGAAACCAGUG
rnacentral:hammerhead_ribozyme from 1 species